rnacentral:rRNA from 1 species
UUCCCAGACUCCUACGGGAGGCAGCAGUGAGGAAUAUUGGUCAAUGGGCGCGAGCCUGAACCAGCCAAGUAGCGUGAAGGAUGACUGCCCUACGGGUUGUAAACUUCUUUUAUAAAGGAAUAAAGUGAGGCACGUGUGCCUUUUUGUAUGUACUUUAUGAAUAAGCAUCGGCUAACUCCGUGCCAGCAGCCGCGGUAAUACGGAGGAUGCGAGCGUUAUCCGGAUUUAUUGGGUUUAAAGGGUGCGUAGGCGGUUUUUUAAGUUAGUGGUUAAACGUCGGGGCUUCACCUUGAUUUGCCAUUAAUACUGUAAGACUCGAGUUCAGACGAGGUAGGCGGAAUAAGUUAAGUAGCGGUGAAAUGCUUAGAUAUAACUUAGAACUCCGAUAGCGAAGGCAGCUUACCAGACUGCGACUGACGCUGAAGCACGAGAGCGUGGGUAGCGAACAGGAUUAGAUACCCUGGUA